rnacentral:lncRNA from 1 species
AAGAACAAAGGAAGAAAAGAAAGAACAAGAAACCUAGGGUGAAAAUUCAAGAGAAAAUUGGUGGAUUUCAAGUAAUCAAGCAAUCAAAGGUAAAAAUUUCUUGCUUUUGACUUGUGAUCUACCUUUCCCAUACAUUCUUUUGCAUUUUCUGUGGUUGAAUCACAUGAUUUCAUGAUGGGUAUCUUGCUGGCUGAACACUUAGAGAGAGGUUUUGAUGCUUGAUUUGGUUAGAUUUUAAGAUAUUUUAGUGUUUUUAGUUGAUUAGUGAUGUGUAGCAUGAAAAUCAAGCAAGAAAAAUUCAUGUUCUUCCAUCACCCAUCAUUGGCCGAAUUCUCCAUGUGGAAUAUUGAGGAUGAUUUUGAUUUUAUUUCAAGUGAUUUGGUUAGGAAUUAGUGAUUUAUGGUGUGAGAAUCAAGUAGGAAAAAUUAUAAUGUUGAUGCACCCACCAUGGUCGAAUUUCCCAAGAGAAAAUGUGAGGAUGAUUUUGUCAUAUUUCAAGUUAUUUAAUUUGCGUUUGAUGAUUUGGAGAAUUGGAAGAAAAAUGGAAUUAUUUGGAGUUAAAUUGGACAUAUUGGCCAAUUAAUCGAGUGAUAGAUCGAAUUAGGCCAAUAUCGUUUUAUUUAGGUACACAAUUGAAUUUGUGUAGAGCACCGUGUUUAGACGAUAAUCCAAACAAUUUACAUCCCAUUUCAUGCAUUAGUAUAGAGCCUUAAUUGGUUUUAUAACAAUUUAGCACAAAUGUAGUAAAUGGCUUAUUGUGCAUUAUGUCUAGGUGGUGAGCAUUCUGGCAAAAGUAAAGAGAUAGUACCCGAGGAUCAAGAAUCGGAGUACUCUGAAUUCGACUCCCGAAAUAGUGAGUAACCUUACUAUCGUCUUAACUAUCUAAAGUGGUUUUUAUCCAAUUUUAUGAUUUUAUGAAAAAUAAGUUUAAAUGGUAAAUCUUUAUGUUUUAUAAACAAAAUGUGUUUAAAUGAAAUGAUUUUAUAAAUUAUCUUGAAAUUGAAUGAUGGCUUUGAAAAUAGAGUAAUUGGAGACCAUUUGAUGAAUUGUGAAUUUAUGGUUCUAAUUGAUUGGCUUAUGGCAAUAUUGGCAUGAAUGGCUGAAUUGGUAUUUGUGCUGAAAAUGUAUAAACUGUUGUUUGCCUUGAUAGGCUGGAUAAUGAUAAAAUUGCCAUGUCAUGCUGUUAAAUUUUAUUGAAUUGGUGGGUUAUUGAUUAGUCGCUGUAGUGAACGGGUUCCGUGGACCAGCCUAUUAGAGGGGGCACGAUAACCCUAUUAUAUUCAUACCUUAGUAUGAGAGGCGUGGAUGGAAAACUCCUAAGGUUAACACUUUAGAGUUCACUUCACGCCAAACCACCACGUGAGGGUGAACUCAGCCAAUGC